rnacentral:tRNA from 1 species
AAAAAGAUAAGCUAAAUUAAGCUAAUGGGUUCAUACCUCAUUUAUAAAAAUUAAAAUUUUUUUCUUUUUA